CCUGUAUCCAUAUUGCGAAUUUUCAUCACAGUUUAUUCCUUUGCGUGGAUUUUCAUUCAAAUAACCAUCAGAAGCCUUUGUGUAUAAAGAAGGCGACCUAGAAACUUUUGACACCAAAGGGCGACACCCUCACACGAAUAGUAAUAGUAAUCCGUCACUCUUGCCAUGCUAAUAAUGCAUAGAAUAUAGUACCGCUAAUCUUAGUUGGUUCGAUAAAAUAGAGAUCUUGAUCCUUCUAAGAAACAACUCGUCUAGAACGGUCAUUGGCGUUAGUUGGUCAUCCGUUUAUAGUAUUGUGGCU